rnacentral:rRNA from 1 species
UGGGGAAUAUUGGACAAUGGGCGAAAGCCUGAUCCAGCCAUGCCGCGUGUGUGAAGAAGGUCUUCGGAUUGUAAAGCACUUUAAGUUGGGAGGAAGGGCAUUAACCUAAUACGUUAGUGUUUUGACGUUACCGACAGAAUAAGCACCGGCUAACUCUGUGCCAGCAGCCGCGGUAAUACAGAGGGUGCAAGCGUUAAUCGGAAUUACUGGGCGUAAAGCGCGCGUAGGUGGUUUGUUAAGUUGGAUGUGAAAUCCCCGGGCUCAACCUGGGAACUGCAUUCAAAACUGACUGACUAGAGUAUGGUAGAGGGUGGUGGAAUUUCCUGUGUAGCGGUGAAAUGCGUAGAUAUAGGAAGGAACACCAGUGGCGAAGGCGACCACCUGGGCUAAUACUGACACUGAGGUGCGAAAGCGUGGGGAGCAAACA